AGGAGAGAGAGGGAUUCGAACCCUCGAUAAUUCUUUGUUAAAAACUAUACCGGUUUUCAAGACCGGAACCAUCAACCACUCGGCCAUCUCUCCGCAAUCGAAUUUCGAUUGUGAUUUAUUUUAUCAUAUGUUUACACCGAUAAAACAUGGGCAGUUGAUACGAUCAUUCCUUCCAGAUAGAUAUUAGCCCCCAAUCUAUCUAUACAGAUAGAUGUAUCAUCUAUCAUAUCCUGUAUCAUACCCCGUAAAGUAAAAAAAUGACUCGCGAACUCAUGUUUGAAUCAAGUCAGAAUAAAGGAAAAACUUAUAACAAAGUCAGAUAGAAUCCAUGGAUUCAUGGGAUUCGUUCGUUAUAGUAGAAAGAAAUUUUCUUUCUUUUAUCUUUAUUUUAUAUAUAUGGAUUUUAUAGCUGAUAGAGAGAUCAAAUGGUAUAAUUUUUUUGUUAGUAGAUUGGAGGAUUAGAAACAUGACUAUUGCUUUCCAAUUGGCUGUUUUUGCAUUAAUUGCUACUUCAUUAAUCCUACUGAUUAGUGUACCCGUUGUUUUUGCUUCUCCUGACGGCUGGUCAAGUAACAAAAAUGUUGUAUUUUCCGGUACAUCAUUAUGGAUUGGAUUAGUCUUUCUAGUGGCUAUCCUUAAUUCUCUCAUCUCUUGA
rnacentral:tRNA from 1 species